CAGUUUGUUGGACUGGUGUCAAAUGUUUAAAAGCUUUCUUGUUAAGAAAAGAUUAUAUUCGGAAUCAACAAUUGGCCGAUUGACAGAUUUUCAAAUGUCUCGUUCGACUUUAAACUAGUACUAGUAGUAAAACUGAAGUAAUUUGGAUAAGAAGUGUAAAGUGGAGAGCAUAACAAUUUUUUUAACUUAUCAUCUGGUAGGACGAAAGCAGUUACUCACGAAUAUAACCCGGGAUAUCUUCAAAACAAUCGCAACUCGAAGCUCCCAGGGACGCAGGACGUGCUUGUGGAGUGUUUUCGGUGCAGUUGCAAUUUUCAAGGAACUAUUUUAUUAAUCAGAACAUCAUCUUCCAAACCGUUGAAAAAUGUGCAUAUUUUCUCGUUAUCAAGUCAACAAAUAAAGUAGAUAAUCAGUUCAGCUCCUACCAUCUGGUGCGCCUAUCAUUGUUCUCUCUAUAUGCAGCUCUUGUAUUUUUUCCUCUAAUUUUCCCCGGGUCAAGGAAGUGCAAAAUGUUUACCGCCUGACUGAUAUCUAAAUCUACCCUCUACCCUGCAAAUAGUUUAACGGUGACAUUCAGACACCAGGCUGACCUGGCUGCUUUAGGAUACUCAUGUGGUUUAGAUAACCCCUUUGCAGAGUGGAAGAUUCAGGAGUUGUGAUCAUUGGUGUGGAAAAUCGAAGGGACGGGUGUCUACGGCCCAGGAUAACGUGUGGCUUGAACGCGACGAAUAUAGAAGAGAAGAAAUGAAAAGUGUGGUGGCGGGAAAAUAGCCCAGAAGUCCAGCUUGUGGUUGUGGUUUCAAUUUAAUUUUCAAGUAACCAAAAAAACGAAAACUGAUUAAUAUGAAAUAUUACGCGAUAACUGGACCUUCUACUGGUUGCAUAAGGGAAAAUAUCUGAAAUUCUGUGAGUUUUCAUCACGUUUGGCUGAAGAUAUAAAUCUUUUCUGCAGUGUGAAAAAAACAUAUGCAGCACAAGCAGAAAUAAGAUGAAGAGCUCAUUCCCAU